GGGAGCCUGAUGUGGGACUUGAUCCCGGGACUCCAGGAUAACGCCCUGGACCAAAGGCAGGUGCUAAACUGCUGAGCCACCCAGGGAUCCCUGGCCAAACCCAUUUUAAUAACUGCAUAAUAUACCACAGUAUAAACGUUUUAAAUUUAACUAUUUCCGUAUUGGAAGAUGUGUUUGCUUUCUAGUUUUUCACUAUCCUGGGGGAGGAGUAGGUUUGAGAGAGAGAGGAAGAAAAUAGAUCUUCAAGUGAGAGAUAAGAGACCUGGGUUAUUUCCAAUUUUAUUCUAACCUGCGACCUCUGGUAAAUCCCAUUCCUUCUCUAGGAAUAAGUAUCUGAACCUGUCAAAGAGGUUUUAGAUCAUGUAUCUUUUGAGAUGAUUAAAGCUCUAUACCCCCCCAGAAAUGCCCAAAUAGAAAACAUUUCUUAGGAAUAUGAAGAUAUGAGUGCUGUAAUCUCUUAAAUCUGCCCAUAAACCCCACUUUGAGAUUUUAUAGGCUGCAUGGCUCUCAAGGUUUUUCCCUGACUCCAGAAACCAUUUGAAGCAGUAUGAUUUUCUAAAUAAAGAAGUGGGUUUGCAGCCCAGCUGUGUGUUGCACUUGGUCACUAAUCUCCCUGUCACAUUUGUGGUAUUUUAGGACAGUUUCUCCUCACUUGAACAGUCUCGAGUCUCAGUCUGAGUUUGUGGGUUUGUGGAGCUGCAGGGCACCUCUGGCCAGCUUGCAGCACCUACAUCAGCCAGUGGUCACUCCAGCCCCUUUUGAGUGCCUCUGGGCUACUCUUUUCCCUUUAGUAGGUCUGCAGCACCCCUCCCACCAGGACAUCCUGACACUCAUCACAUUCUCCUCCUGGCUCUUAACUCCUUACAUCCACCCAGAAUGGACUUGGGUCUUCCAAAAUAUAUGAGACUAUAAGGAGAGUGGGCUAAGAUACCUAAUGUUCAGUAUUUGAAAAUUUCAGCUGCUAAUGUGUAUUUGAUGUUUGGUGCUUUUAUAUAUUUUUAGAAACCAUCUUUUUUGCUUCAGGACAACCUAAGAGAAAGGCAGAGAAUGUGGCACAACAGUUAUAUUUUUCUCUGGGUCCAAGUUCUCCCUCAGUUAAGAGUCCUUUCUCUCGCCAGCUGUUUCCCUUGUCUCCACACCUGAUUAGACAUACCUCUUCCUAAAAAAAAAAAAAAAAA
rnacentral:lncRNA from 1 species